rnacentral:rRNA from 1 species
GGGGAAUAUUGGACAAUGGGCGAAAGCCUGAUCCAGCGACGCCGCGUGAGUGAUGAAGGCCUUCGGGUUGUAAAGCUCUGUUGAGGGAGAAGAAAACAGUUAGAACUAAUAUGUCUAGCUCUUGACGGUAUCCCUUUAGAAAGCACCGGCUAACUCUGUGCCAGCAGCCGCGGUAAGACAGAGGGUGCGAGCGUUGUCCGGAAUCACUGGGCGUAAAGGGCGCGUAGGUGGCUUGGUAAGCGUGCGGUGAAAGCUCGAGGCUCAACCUCGAGUCUGCCGUGCGAACUGCCGAGCUGGAGCACGGUAGAGGCACAUGGAAUUCCGGGUGUAGCGGUGGAAUGCGUAGAGAUCCGGAAGAACACCGGUGGCGAAGGCGGUGUGCUGGGCCGUAGCUGACACUGAGGCGCGACAGCGUGGGGAGCAAA